UCCGAAGGGGGCUAGCGUUGUUCGGAUUCACUGGGCGUAAAGCGCGCGUAGGCGGAUCGGUAAGUCGGGGGUGAAAGCCCAGAGCUCAACUCUGGAAUUGCCUUCGAUACUGGAGGUCUGGAGGAGAGAAGAGGCGAGUGGAAUUCCUAGUGUAGAGGUGAAAUUCGUAGAUAUUCGGAGGAACACCAGUGGCGAAGGCGGCUCGCUGGUCUCGUGCUGACGCUGAGACGCGAAAGCGUGGGGAGAAAACAGG
rnacentral:rRNA from 1 species